rnacentral:rRNA from 1 species
AACGAACGCUGGCGGCAGGCUUAACACAUGCAAGUCGAACGGUUGCAGCAAUGCAGCAGUGGCAGACGGGUGAGUAACACGUGGGAACCUUCCUAGGGGUACGGAACAACUCAGGGAAACUUGAGCUAAUACCGUAUACGUCCGUGAGGAGAAAGAUUUAUCGCCCUUAGACGGGCCCGCGUCGGAUUAGCUAGUUGGUGGGGUAACGGCCUACCAAGGCGACGAUCCGUAGCUGAUCUUAGAGGAUGAUCAGCCACACUGGGACUGAGACACGGCCCAGACUCCUACGGGAGGCAGCAGUGGGGAAUCUUGGACAAUGGGCGCAAGCCUGAUCCAGCCAUACCGCGUGAGUGAAGAAGGUCUUCGGAUUGUAAAGCUCUUUUGCCAGGGACGAUAAUGACGGUACCUGGAGAAUAAGCCCCGGCAAACUUCGUGCCAGCAGCCGCAGUAA